rnacentral:lncRNA from 1 species
CAUAUGGAAGUUUCCAGGCUAGGGGUCGAAUCGGAGCUGUAGCCACUGGCCUACGCCAGAGCCACAGCAAUGCUGGAUCCGAGCCGCGUCUGCAACCUACACCACAGCUCACGGCAAUGCCGGAUCGAAUCGUUAACCCACUGAACAAGGGCAGGGACCAAACCUGCAACCUCAUGGUUCCUAGUCGGAUUCGUUAACCACUGAGCCACGACGGGAACUCCCAGAAACCAAGAAAUUCUCAUGGUUAAACUGGAGAUUAAUUACAGGGAAGCAGUGUUAGCUAAGCCCGCAAAGAUAAAUUCUAUCCAGAUCAUAGAAGGCCUGGUCCACUGAAAAGUCAUUAGAAUGUCUUUGGGGAGUUCCCCUUGUGGCUCUAUGGUAACAAUCCUGACUAGUAUCCAUGAGGAUGCAGGUUCGAUCCCUGGCCUCGCACAAUGGGUUAAGGAUCUGGCAUUGCUGUGAGCUGUGGUGAAGGUUACAGACUUGGCUCAGAUCCCCCAUUACUGUGGCUGAGGCAUAGGCUGGCAGCUGCAGCUCCAAUUUGAUCUCUAGCCUGGGAACCUCCAUGAAGAGACAGAGAGAAGCUAGAAAUAAGGAAACUCAUGAGGAAAUGUCUGCAACAGGAGUAAUGAAAGGCCUUAAAUUAUGGCUGUGCUAAAGAACAGGAAAGAAAGGAAUAAAUAUGAAAAUUAUAUAGAAAAUCUAUCCAUACUGGACUCGGUAACCACUAAGAGAUGGAGGAGGACAGAAAGGUGAAGUAUAUUUAGAGUUUGAUUUCCAUAACUGGAGGAAGAACAAUAUCAUUAAGGUCCAGAGUGAGCAGGGGCAAGACCUGGCUUGAGAGCUGGAAUUCAACAGAUGGGAUACAAUUUGGGAAGUACUAACACAACAACCAAACAAAAAACAUUACAUCUAAAGGUAACUAUAGGUAUCAGAAGCACAGAUGUGAGUCAAGACAAGAUGAGUGUGAGGAAGUAAAAACAAGUGAAGUCUACAUUCCAGAAUUGUGAAGCUAAAGAAAAGGAGAAAAAAAGGAGACUUUGAAUAGCUGGCAGGGUUUGAAUCCACUUGUUUUGUUUCUUGUGAUUUUAGAGCAGAUAAACCAAAGUGCAUUUGUUCCAAAGUGAAAGGAGCCAAACAGAGAGGGUAACAUCAGGGAUUCAAUAAGGAUUAGUAACACCACAGUGUCCAGAGGGUGAGGUAUCCAAAUUCAAGCCUUCAAAAUAAGCCUUAAGAAAAAUAAGUUGUUUUUCCAGUCUUGAAAUAGAGGAGAAAGGAUGUGAAGAUAAAGGGAUAGUCUGGGAUAGAAAUGUAGGAAGAAGCUAAGCGUCACAUCGGACAACUCUGACCUGAUAAUAUGUCAGACUGUAUCAUUCUUUAAAUAUGUGGAGGCGAAAGAGAUAGGGAAGGAGAUGGAAUUUUAAAGAAAGUGGAAAGGGCCUGAAAUUGCAGCUCUGUGGAAUGUUCAAGAAAGUAACAAAGAGAUGAAUGUAAGAACUAUUGAACAAUAGUGCUGGUUUGGUUGAACUUUUUAUUAAAACAAUUCCUUUGCUGUGACAACCAUUACUGAGCUAAAAGAUGAAGUAUUUUGAAAUUGUCCACUUUUAGUGGGAACCAAUAUACUUCCCAAAGACUUCAAGAAAAUCAAAGUGUGUAGUAAAAAUACUAUACUCUAGAUUAAAAAAAAUCAUAAAAGUGUUCUCUUCAAAUUGAGGAGCAAGACAUUAUUAAAUAAAAUAUGACCUAAGUGUGUCUAAGUGAAGUUGUUAGACAUUUUGGGUACAUGGCAAGGAGCCACUGCACUUCAUGUUUGAUUUAUCUGCAAGAAAACCUGCUGCCCUUAAACCUCGGGAGACCUUUUGCAUAUUAAGGAGACAAAUUGUGUCAAUACUACAUAUGUUUAAAAGUUACUGUGAAUCCAUAAAGAGAGUGAUUAUUUUGAAAACAACCACAAAGAUAUUUUUAGAAACCGUGGGGUUUAUAUUUAUGCCAUAGCAUACUGACCACAAUUAUAAACUUCCAGUUAUAUAGAGUAUGGAGAGAAAUCUAUACAUGUAUGAACAAAGAGACAGUAACAGAACUCUCCAUGUAAUUGCAAAGGGUGUUAAGUAAAAUGAUUUGUCCAACUAUUCUUUGGUAAAUCUAAGCACUUCAGAACAAUAUAAUAAUCAUCUGCCUACGAAAUUGUUGAGAAUCAGUGGUUGAGAGAGAAAACUUAACAACUUUCAUCCCAUGUAUCCUGGCAGGGCAAGUUCCGUAGCAGUUUUAAGAACAGUCACUGUUCUAUAAGUUCUUUUGUACCAUUUUUUGUUAGAGUCCACAUAUUAGUGAUCGCAUAUGUUAUAUCUUUGUCUUUCUGACAUACUUCAUUUAACAUGAUCAUUUCUAGGUCCAUCCAUGUUGCUGCAAAUGGUAUUAUUUCAUUCCUUUAUAUAAUAGUAGGUAGGGGGUAUAGAUUUUUCUAUAUAUAAAAUAAAUAGGUAACAAGGACUUACUGUAUAGCACAGGGUAAUAUAAUCAAUACUAUUUAAUAACCUAUAUGUGAAAAUAAUCUGAACAGGAAAGGGCACAUGUAUAUGUAUAACUGAUUUAGUUUGCUAUACACCUGAAUCUAACACAACUUUCUAAGUAAACUAUAUUCCAAUAAAAUCUAUUUCAAGAAGAAGAAGGAGAGGGAGAAGGAGGAGGAGGAGAAGAAGGAGAAAGAGGGGGAGGAGGAAGGGGAAGAGAAUAAGAAAGGUCCCUUUUUCUAGAUUUCCUGGUGCCCAACAAGGUAUCUGAUCUUCACUGGCAGAUAAAAGGGGGUCUAUGUGAGCUUGAGUUGCAACUAAUCUUGCUACCUCUGCAUGAGCACAUAGCAUGCAGAGAAAUAUGCCAUGGAAAUUAAUGAGAAGACUCUGCGUGGGAGGCCAACCUCAUUCUCUGCCAGAGUCUGUGCUUUCAUUAAUCAUGGUGGAAGGUACUUUUAGGCACUCUUAAUCCUUUUGGGUUUUCACAUACACCUCUCUGUGAACAUCAUGGCUUCUGUGGGGACUCGGGGGAGACAUGUAACUUUGCCAUAAGGUAUAGUUUUUGCCGGUAUUUUCUGAAAUCCAUUCCUUUUUCACAACAAAUUUUAUUUUACCAUUCUCAUCUUCAUUUCCCAUCCUCCCAGAUUUCAUAUUUUGGAGCACUGAGAAACAACAAUAUGACUCAUCACACUACAUUACAAAUGCUUACUUCUUUUUAUCUCUUAAUGACAGAGGGGGGAUACACAGAACUACAGGCAGGAGUGCAGGUACUAGGAACCAGGAGAGCUCUAUACCAGUGGGAUAAUGUGAACAGAGCUUGUGAUGCACCUUCCAGAAUUUGCUUCUUCACUCUUCAAGCAAGAAAGACUUGGUAUUCUCUAACUAUCCUUUCCUGGUCUAUUACAUCAUGUACAGUAGUGUAAGUGACACGUUUGUUCAUAUAAAAGACAAUGGAAAAGGCCAGUUGGGCUAUUAAGACUUCACAUUAAAAAGAAAAACUCAAGCUUUGGUACAGUUGAUCUGAGAGGGGUGAGAACAUUCAUGCUGUAGAGCAGUUUCAGAAACUGACUCACAUAGUCGAGAUAAAUUAGGAACAAAUCAUUGUAUUAGAUAACGUGUGUAUAUAGUACAUAUAAAUUUGUGUAUAUAUGUGUCCUAUUUUUCCCAUAAAUGAGAAAACAUACCAAAUAUUUUAACUCAUUACUUGGCUUUAACUCUACUGCAUUACUUGAACAAAAUGCUACAGUGAAAUUCUUGAUUGAAAGUCUUGAGUCCUGAGUCUUGCAAAAUGUUGGGGCUUUUAUAACUAAUAAUCUAUAAUUAGAGAGCUGGAGAUAGCCUGGAUCUUGGGCCACUGGCCAGAUAGAGGACAACACAGAGGUGUGUAGACAGAGAGCCACAUUUUUGUUUUUUCUCGGCACAGACAAAAGUAACAAGGAAAUCCCACAAUGGUUCUAAGGACCCCUGUCCUGCCAUGUUCUCUCUUGAGAUAAUAAAGUUCAGGUGAACUCUAAAUGUAAUAUUUGGUGAAGGAUGGUUCAUCUGAAACAUAAGAAUACAAAUGAUGGGAAGUGAAUAAUGUGGCAACUAUUAAUGGACACCUUAAACAUGUCUCAUACUGUGGUACAAACUUUACAUGUAUGGUUUGCUUCCUCUUCACAACUAUCUACUAAAAUGAGUAUUACUUUCAUUCCUAUUUCACAUAUGAAGAUAUUAGGGCUUAGAAAGUUUAAUUUACUUGGUCAAGGAGAUGGCUUAAUAACUGGCAGAGUGGGGAGAAAAGUUUGCAUCUGCCUCUUUCCCAUUUCUAUGCUCUGUUCAGGGCAUCAAAUUAUACCUAUGGGCAUCCUGCAUACCUCAGAGAGCUCACUCCCUCCAAGGGGGCAAGGAUCCUCUAAUCUUCCACUAGUACUUCUAAAUUUAGAAUCUUUGCUAAAUGUUUCAUUAACUUAGUAAUCUUUUUAUUUAAUGAAAACACUUCUCACUCAUAUAUUAAGCUUAAAAGAAAACCAACAUGAUUUUAAAAUGCCUUAUGUAUAUGUCACAUGAAAAUAUAUACGCUUAACUUCCUCAUCUAAUUGUCAUAUUAGCUUGCUGCUGGGAACUCUGAGCAAUCUGUAUUCUUGAAGUCAUGCUAUUUGUCAAUAAUUCAGAGAGAUUUUAAGAAUGUGCACCACAAUUAUUUAUUGCUUUACCCAAAGUCUUCCAGAAUUUAUAGUCCCUAAUCUGUAGUAUAUAUUUUAUGAAUCCUUAAGUAUGCAAAAAGUAAGAGAGGAGUCCAAUUCCAGUUCAAUUUAAGCUAUUGCCCUUGGAAAGAACUACAUUAUUAAAGUUUGAUCAUAUAUUUUGCUGUCAUGUCUGUGGCUAAUGUACUUUCUUCAGCCCAUGCCCUGAUUAGUUUGUAGUCAUUAUUUAAAACCAUUCUAUGAGUGUUUGUUGGUAGGAAAAUGCUUGAUUCAGAUCUCAGUAAAUGUCACUGCUGCCUCACCAUUAAAUCUUACUCAAUUGUUGGCACUUACUGUUUUUGGAGCACUUAAUAUUUUUGAUAAGAAAAUAAUGGUUAUUUAUUUAGGUUUCCAACUUCUCUGAAUUGCUUUUAACACAUGUAACAUACAGAAAUCUGUAAGAAUUCUGAGAUGUCAAAACCUGUAUUAUUGACACACAUAUUUAUUUCACCAAUGGGCUUUAUAACUGCCAUUCAACAGCACCUGAUAAAUUAUUUUGACAGCUCAUUCAAAAAGUUUAGGGCUUUUUAAAUGUUUUAAAUUCAUCAUAUUUGAGGUUUUAAAAAAUAUUUAAGAAUACUUAUUUUGCUAUUUCUGAUCAAUCUGACUCUCUACACAGUUUAAAACAUCUCAAACAGCAAAAUAUGCAUAAAUUUAAGAAAUAUCAGUUUGAGACUCACAAACAAAACACUUAUUUAAGGUGCUCUAGGGCCAAGGAGGAGAACACAGCAUUGUUCUUUUUGAUUAGUUCCAACUGUUUUCUUCUUCAGUUCACUAGAGAAUUAGUUUAUGAAAUGCCUGUGAUCUGAGAUUAACAGAUGCCACCAUUCUGUUUUACAUGAUAAAGUGAAUCCCAUGGCAUUUAUGGAUUUUUCUUUUUGAAAAGUGAAAUGCAGUUGAGCAUGGCAGUGAAAGCCUUAACCAGAUCUCUUGAGUUAGAAUCCUGACUCUUCCUGUUCCAACUUGUGUGACCUUGAGCAUGUCUCAAUCACAAGUUAUUAUCUGGAAACUGGUGAUUAAAUAGUAUCCACUUCAUAGUAACCUUUAAAGGAUUAAAUAAAUCUGGUGUACUCAACAUCUAGAUCAGUGGGGGGCACAAAGCAUGUUCCUAAAGUGUCCCUAUU